UUCUGAAGUUCAGUUGAAGUUGACAAAUAAUAUCCAAGGGCCUAGUGUGUUCUAGACAACAUGCUAAGCAUUUGAAAGUCACUACAGGAUGAAAACAGGAAUACAUAGCUUACUGAGUAGUACAGUAAAAUACCUCCAAUGUGUGGGUGAUGCGGGGUCGGUGAGCCGAGGGUCAAAAGAAAGAUUUCUUAGACUCUUAAGAUCUGGCAGUAGUGCUCUUUUAUUUAGAGAAUAGUGUGGAAUAGCAUGGGGACAGGACCCAUGGGCAGUCAGAGCUUCUGCUGCCGCCGCUUCUGCUGCCCCUGCUGGCAUGGGGACAGGACCCAUGGGCAGGCAGAGCUGGUGCGUGGGGACAGGACCCACGGGCAGUCAGAGCUCCUGCUGCUGCCCUGAGUUGAGGGUUAGGGCUAAUUUUAUAAGGCAUGGGUACGUGACUUAUUUUUACUGGAAAAAAAAGAAAAAGAAAAAGAUGAUGUAAAAAGUCAUUAAAUGAUUUCAGUGCAGAUGGGGUCUGGUUAUUGUGCGGUCAUAUAACUUUAGAUACGAAUCUGGCCAUAUAGAUCGGCAUGCAGGUGAGGAUGCCCCGGGCUUCUCUCCCUGGGGCAGUCCUAAUUCAUACCAUAAAAAAGUCCACUGGGUCAUAUAGUUUGGCAUGUAGGCCAGGUCACCUUGGGCUUCUCUAGCUGGGGCAGCCUUAAUCCACAUCAUAAACCCCCCCUGAACCCAUUUGGCCCCAAAAUCUUUUGGGGAUAUGGACGACGGUCAGUCUUCUGUAACUACUUCCGGCUGUACAAGGUCGUAGAGCUGUCCCUAAAUGGGGCCAUAGGUAUAGGUAGGAGGUUCAGCGGACCGGAAGACUGCACCCGUGGAGUCCAAGGCUGACAAGGCAUCCAGAGCCUCUGGGGACGAGAGAAUCAUUUGACGAGUGGUGGUCCAGGAGGUGAAACUUUGUUGACAUGCGGAAGACAAACAAUGAAACAGACAACAAAUUAUAAUAAGAAAUACAAGCAGUAUGAUUAACCCAAUGAAUAAGGUUUUGAUAGCCGUCCAGAAACCUGGACCUGACCAAGAGUUCAACCAGUCAUUUAGAGAUAGGGGAGGGUCAGGCAUGGACUUAAUUUGGUGGCUCAUAUCAGACAGGAAGCCGGAGAUAUUUUGAUGGUAGUCAGGAAUAUAGACACAACAUUCAGUUUUUAUAAUGGCACAGGUGCCCCCCUGUGCUGCUGUCAAGACAUCCAGUGCCAUUCGGUUUUGGAGGACUGCCUUACGCAUUUGGGAUACUUCUAAAUUGAGCAGCUAAAGGCUAUGUUGUGUAUCAUUUAAUGCCUUCAUAGUAAAUUUGUUUAGGACUUCCAUGUGCAAGAUGACACUUUGAAUUCCUAAUUGGGGAAGGAAAAUUGAGGCAACGUGGUCAUACCAGUGGAAGACAGAGCAGGUCCAGCGCUGUUGCAGGUUGGGUAGGUUAGCAGGAGGAGAUAUAGUAAAUGUAGUUCUACCUUGCAUCCAGACAAAGCCUAGCGUGCAUCGUCCAAUCCAUCCAGGUGGCAGCCAAGGCCAUAAGUUGGAGCCACAUAGCCACUGAGUUCCAUUAGGGGCUAACCAAUGCGUGCUGGGCCGUCUAUCCCAGUCAGUCUCAAACCAAUCAGUAUUUUUUAAGGUUAUGAUAUGAGAACACAUAUGACAGGGAAUUUUCCCAUAGGUCGGGUGCUAUUAGGCCAUGUAUCACAGGUGUGAUUGGUUUGUUCCCAACAUAGAGUGGACUUUUGACUGAGUUGACCACUAGCAGGAGUGAGCCAAAUACAUU
ensembl:lncRNA